UGAGCCAUCACUCACAUGUGCACAUAUUUCAUUGCCAUUGUCGUCAGACUGAGGUCACCUCAGGUACUUUUCCUAUAAAGUAUGUCUGGAGUCGCAAAACGUCACAUUUUCAUUGACAUCGGUGGAUGAGAUUCAAGCUGAGAAUCAUAACCUAGAGCCGAGAAGAGAAACGACACCAUCGUCACCAUGAUUGCAAAGAUUUGUUUCCUCGUCCUUCUGUUCGUUGCUUCUGGCAACUCACAGGCCAGUACCACAGAAGGAGGUACCACAGCAGCAGGUACCACAGCAGCAGUAACCACAGCAGCAGUAACCACAGCAGCAGUAACCACAGCAGCAGGUACCACAGCAGCAGUUACCACAGCAGCAGUAACCACAGCAGCAGUUACCACAGCAGCAGUAACCACAGCAGCAGGUACCACAGCAGCAGUAACCACAGCAGCAGGUACCACAGCAGCGGGUACCACAGCAGCAGUAACCACAGCAGCAGGUAC